CAGUCGCCACGGGAAUACGUAGGGUGCGAGCGUUAAUCGGAAUUACUGGGCGUAAAGCGUGCGCAGGCGGUUAUGUAAGACAGUUGUGAAAUCCCCGGGCUCAACCUGGGAACUGCAUCUGUGACUGCAUAGCUAGAGUACGGUAGAGGGGGAUGGAAUUCCGCGUGUAGCAGUGAAAUGCGUAGAUAUGCGGAGGAACACCGAUGGCGAAGGCAAACCCCUGGACCUGUACUGACGCUCAUGCACGAAAGCGUGGGGAGCAAACAGGAUUAGAUACCCGCGUAGUCCCUGUCUCUUAUAC
rnacentral:rRNA from 1 species